UUGAAAUAAUGUGAUAUUUUUCGCAAAUUGUGGUUCUUUUACCUUCCGACCUAGCAAUUAAUCUCAUUUAUUAAUUAAUUCACAGAAAAAUUGUAAAAAAAAGUCAAGGAUUAGAGUCCCUUAGUGACAAUUUAAUAUAAUUUCUAAUUUGUACAAGCUAAAAUCGGAAAUCUAAUAAUAUAAAAUUAUUAGAUAGAUUCUAUUAGUCAAAU
rnacentral:lncRNA from 1 species